UGUUUCUUAGUUAACUAGCAAACAUUGAGUGAUUAUCCAUGGGCUGUAUUGCCCUGUACCAAAUGUCUGCUAAAAACAGAGUAAGAUGGAUUGAUGCCUUAUUUGAAUAAAUCCAGCAGACUUUAAAAAAUAUUCCAUGCAGAAAUUGUUUAUGCACAUUUAGCAGACAGAAUGGAAUUGAGGUAGUUUGUGCUCUUUUAAACUUAAAUAUAGAAUUAUCCCAGACUUUAAAAGCAAUAUAGUUAAAUAUCUCAACAGCAGAAAUCUAGUUACAUUCUUUUGAUAUUCCCAUUUCAAACCAGAGACUCUAUUGGAAUAUCAAGUCUUUUUUUUCAUCUCAGAGCAAUUUUCUACAAUUUUCUGGAUUCCAUUUCUUCUUUAUUUCUCUUUCUGAAUAUAGAUUAUUAUGACUCUGGAUUUUUUCUCCUUGUCUCCACUUGAGUUUUAUAAUCUCCAUAGUUUUGCAUAGAAUUUCCAUUCAGUGUUCUGGUAGAAUUGUAUGACUUGGUCUUCUAAUCACUAAUUUGUUCCUCAGUUGUGCUCAUUUGGCUUUUCAGCUCCUAAUAUGUUUCUUAUUUUGGCAACCAUGUUUUUCUUUUAUACUAACUCUUGUUCUCUGAUGAACAUUUUACAUAGCAGUGUUUUCUUAUGAUAUGUCAUAAUGGUUUGUGAUCCUAAUGUCUCAAAAGGGAGUCACUCAUGUCAAGCUGCAUUAAGCCCACAGUGAAGCUGCACCUGCCUCAAUGUGAUAAACAUACAUGUAAUGGACAGAGGUAAUAGCACCUGUUGUCACCAGGUACCACCGAAGACCUGGACUGAACCCAAUAGAAAGUGAAAAGUGGCUGAGGAUUAUAAAAGCAGCAAAGACCAGGCCUUCUCAGAGAUGCCUUUGGAGACUCUGCCCGGGUUGGGCCCAUCACAACUUCCAGGAUCAAUGCUGACAAACUUAAAAGAUGCAAGACACUCAACCCUGGACACUAAUAAACUCACUUUGAGGAGAUUUUGGAACUCUGAUGCCUAGAUAAGGAAACUGAAGCUCACGGAAGCUUAUGAUGCAAUACCAUCAACCGUGGAUAACAUCAUGAGACCCAUUCAAAAUGCCAUUAGUGAUGCUGGAAAUGCUCCCAAGAAGCAGAGAAAAGUCAUGACAUUACAAGAAAACGUUGGAUUGUUUGAUAAUAUGUACUGUAGAUCAUGAUCUGCAGCUG
rnacentral:lncRNA from 1 species